GCAAGUCGAGCGAGAACCCGGUGCUUGCACCGGUAGAGAGCGGCGAACGGGUGAGUAAUACGUAAAUAAUCUGCCCUUAGGUUGGGGAUAACCAUCCUAACGGAUGGCUAAUACCGAAUAGUGUUAGAGAUUCGCAUGUUUUUCUAACGAAAGGCUUCGGCCGCUUUUGGAUGAGUUUGCGUCUCAUUAGUUUGUUCGCGGGGUAAUGGCCCACCAAGACUACGAUGGGUAGCCGGCCUGAGAGGGUGAAC
rnacentral:rRNA from 1 species